GUGAAGCUGCGGUGUAAACCAGUGGUGGAGCCUACACGAGUGAGAAUGCAGGCAUGAGUAGCGAAAGACGGGUGAGAAACCCGUCCGCCGAAUGAUCAAGGGUUCCAGGGUCAAGCUAAUCUGCCCUGGGUAAGUCGGGACCUAAGGCGAGGCCGACAGGCGUAGUCGAUGGACAACGGGUUGAUAUUCCCGUACCGGCGAAAAACCGUCCAUGUUGAACAGGGGAUACUAACCGCCCGAGACCUGCCUGACACCCCUUGUGGGUGAAGGGUUUUGGUGGAGCGCGGGACCUGAUCCUGGGAGGCAAGCGUAUUAACAGGUGUGACGCAGGAAGGUAGCCGAGCCGGGCGAUGGUUGUCCCGGUCUAAGGAUGUAGGGCGAGUGGUAGGCAAAUCCGCCACUCAUGGUGCCUGAGAUCUGAUGGGACCCCCGUUUGGGGGGAUUUGGUGAUCCUAUGCUGCCGAGAAAAGCAUCGACGCGAGGUUUUAGCCGCCCGUACCCCAAACCGACACAGGUGAUCAGGUAGAGAAUACUAAGGCGAUCGAGAGAAUUAUGGUUAAGGAACUCGGCAAAAUGCCCCCGUAACUUCGGGAGAAGGGGGGCCCCAACCUUGAUACACCUUCGCGGUGUGGAGGGGAUCGGGGCCGCAGAGACCAGGGGGAAGCGACUGUUUACUAAAAACACAGGUCCGUGCGAAGUCGCAAGACGAUGUAUACGGACUGACUCCUGCCCGGUGCUGGAAGGUUAAGAGGACCGGUUAGCCGCAAGGCGAAGCUGAGAAUUUAAGCCCCAGUAAACGGCGGUGGUAACUAUAACCAUCCUAAGGUAGCGAAAUUCCUUGUCGGGUAAGUUCCGACCUGCACGAAUGGAGUAACGACUUCCCCGCUGUCUCAACCAUAAACUCGGCGAAAUUGCAGUACGAGUAAAGAUGCUCGUUACGCGCAGCAGGACGGAAAGACCCCGAGACCUUUACUAUAGUUUGGUAUUGGUGUUCGGAGUGGCUUGUGUAGGAUAGGUGGGAGACGUUGAAGCCCGGACGCCAGUUCGGGUGGAGUCAUCGUUGAAAUACCACUCUGGUCACUUUGGACAUCUAACUUCGGCCCGUAAUCCGGGUCAGGGACAGUGCCUGAUGGGUAGUUUAACUGGGGCGGUUGCCUCCUAAAAAGUAACGGAGGCGCCCAAAGGUUCCCUCAGCCUGGUUGGCAAUCAGGUGUCGAGUGUAAGUGCACAAGGGAGCUUGACUGUGAGAGAGACAUCUCGAGCAGGGACGAAAGUCGGGACUAGUGAUCCGGCGGUACAUUGUGGAAUGGCCGUCGCUCAACGGAUAAAAGGUACCUCGGGGAUAACAGGCUGAUCUUGCCCAAGAGUCCAUAUCGACGGCAUGGUUUGGCACCUCGAUGUCGGCUCGUCGCAUCCUGGGGCUGGAGUAGGUCCCAAGGGUUGGGCUGUUCGCCCAUUAAAGCGGUACGCGAGCUGGGUUUAGAACGUCGUGAGACAGUUCGGUCCCUAUCCGCUGCGCGCGCAGGAAAUUUGAGAAGGGCUGUCCUUAGUACGAGAGGACCGGGACGGACGAACCUCUGGUGUGUCAGUUGUACUGCCAAGUGCACCGCUGAUUAGCUACGUUCGGAUGGGAUAACCGCUGAAAGCAUCUAAGCGGGAAGCUCGCUUCAAGAUGAGAUUUCCAUACACAUUUAUGUGUGAGAGGCCCCCAGCCAGACCACUGGGUUGAUAGGCCGGAUGUGGAAGCGAGGACUAACGACUCGUGAAGCUGACCGGUACUAAUAGGCCAACAACUUACACCAC
rnacentral:rRNA from 1 species